GUACUUGCUUCGGCAGUACAAACACUAAAAUUGGAACGAUACAGACGAUACAGAGAGGAUUAGCAUGGCCCCUGAGCAAGGAAAAAAAAGAAAGAAAAAAAAGACGGUUAA